UACAGAGGUCCCAAGCGUUGUUCGGAUUCAUUGGGCGUAAAGGGUGCGUAGGCGGCGCGGUAAGUCGGGUGUGAAAUCUCGGAGCUUAACUCCGAAACUGCAUUCGAUACUGCCGUGCUUGAGGACUGGAGAGGAGACUGGAAUUUACGGUGUAGCGGUGAAAUGCGUAGAUAUCUGGAGGAACACCGGUGGCGAAGGCGGCAUCCUGGACCAACACUGACGCUGAGGAGCGAAAGCCAGGGGAGCAAACGGG
rnacentral:rRNA from 1 species